rnacentral:rRNA from 1 species
CCUGGGGAGUACGGCCGCAAGGUUAAAACUCAAAUGAAUUGACGGGGGCCCGCACAAGCGGUGGAGCAUGUGGUUUAAUUCGAUGCAACGCGAAGAACCUUACCUACUCUUGACAUCCAGCGAAUCCUGUAGAGAUACGGGAGUGCCUUCGGGAACGCUGAGACAGGUGCUGCAUGGCUGUCGUCAGCUCGUGUUGUGAAAUGUUGGGUUAAGUCCCGCAACGAGCGCAACCCUUAUCCUUUGUUGCCAGCGGUUCGGCCGGGAACUCAAAGGAGACUGCCAGUGAUAAACUGGAGGAAGGUGGGGAUGACGUCAAGUCAUCAUGGCCCUUACGAGUAGGGCUACACACGUGCUACAAUGGCGUAUACAAAGAGAAGCGACCUCACGAGAGCAAGCGGACCUCAUAAAGUACGUCGUAGUCCGGAUUGGAGUCUGCAACUCGACUCCAUGAAGUCGGAAUCGCUAGUAAUCGUGGAUCAGAAUGCCACGGUGAAUACGUUCCCGGGCCUUGUACACACCGCCCGUCACACCAUGGGAGUGGGUUGCAAAAGAAGUAGGUAGCUUAACCUUCGGGAGGGCGCUUAC